AAUAAUUCAUGUCCUUUCAAUCUGAAGAUUUCAAGCAUUUAACUGGGAUAAAAGAAAAAAGGAGCAACACUGUCAAGAUGAUAAAUUUAUUGAGGAACAAAGCCUCACAAGAUAUCAAAAAUAUUACUGAUCAAAUAUCUACAUUUAGAACAUUGCGCAUUUGCAAAAAAAUACGUUCUUUAUCUUCCAUGAAAAUGUACUAAACAGUACCAAAGAUCCUCGUGUACACGAUAUACUCUUCCUACUCCUCUGCAAGUAGUCCAGGAGUCCACAAGUUCUAGGAUAUCUCCAAAUAUCAAAUCAAAUGAUACAAUAAUUUUGCUCCAACAAGUCUAAUUAUGAAUGCAACUAAAUCUUACAUGAGGAAUACAUUCUAUAGCUCCUCAAAAAUCCUACUAUUCCUUUCUAAUCUAAUGUAAUUCAUAAAUGCAUAUCUGAAUUGUUUUCCAUACACUUGUGUGCAUCUUUUCUCUUUUCAUGCUAACAAUUUAAAAGUUGCACCAUACUUCCAGGCAUCACCCAAUGGACUCCAUAGAAAUUUAGGAACAUAUUUCAUAUCUGCCAGCUACAUUACAGUGAACAAAGAGAUAGAGAUUCCACAUCUGUCAAUCUAUUUAUUGGUAGAAAACAUAUCACCCUUGAAACAAAAUAAUUUUAUAUUCUGAAAAGACAAUCCAACAUAAAUUUAAUUCAAUUCACUUAAAGAUCGAUCUGUGUCCAUUUAAGUGGGGAUUAAAGGAAAUAAUACUCCCUCUGUUUCAAUUUAGAUGACACACUUUCCUUAUUAGUCCGUUCCAAAAAGAAUAACACUUCUACAAUUAAAAAUAAUUUAACUUUAAACUCUUCAUUUUCAUUUAACUCUUAAUGAGAAGCUUUUAUAACCACACAAAUGUCAUGGCCCCACAAAGCUUUUACCCUUUAAGUUUUUAAAACCACAAGUUUCAAAAGUCUUCUUUUUAUUCCUUAAACUUCGUGCCGAGUCAAACUACAUCAUCUAAAUUGAAAUGGAGGGAGUACACAUUACACCAAGAAGCAAAAAGAAAGUUUGACAUGCCUGAGUGGUCUCAACUAUAGGAGAAUUCUCCAGAAGCUUUUAGGCAUGAUAAUAUAUCUUCGUAUUCCAAAACUAAGAUAACAAUAUUGAAAGUUUGUUGUUAAAAACAUGAAAGAAAGUACUUACAAUAUCUCUUCUUUUUAACUUCUUCUGUGCCACAAAAGAUCUCUGCAAACAGAGUAAAGAUUGAAAAUUUGAUUCACGUAUAAUUUGGAUAUGAAGCUAGGUUUGAAGGAAGAAAAUGCAAUUUAGUACUACUUUGAAAGAGGUGUAUUUUUCAUAGAUAAAAAUCACAUCAUAGUUGGAUAGUAUUAUAUUUAGGGAUGAUUAUAGAAUGUUCGUGGUAGAUGCAGAAAGAGAUAUCAUUUCUUACCCUCAUUAGAAAAGCCAGUUACAGAAAAGAAGCUUCUUUUACGUACGUUGAUAUCUAACUGACUAACAAAGAAAAAGAUAAAAAGGAAAGACUCAAGCUUCCUAGGGGCAUCCCUGUUAAGAAAUCAAUCUAUCUAUGUGAACUCAACCUAUUCACACAUCAAUAUUUAUAUUGCUGCUCCUUGUCCCUUUUCUAAGAGUUAAUGAACUAAUGUUCUACAUUCUUUGUGGAAUAAAAUUUGCUAUACCUUCUUGAUAGUAAAAUUGACUGUAUAUAUCUCGUAUCUCGUGUUUCAAAAAAACUGAAGUUGUUCUUUAGCUGAAAAGAAAAAGAUAAUUAAUAAUAAAAUAUUUAUAAGUAUAAUGAACACUAUCGAGGAAGUAUAUAAAAUUAUAUGAGAAGCACUCAAUGUUGUCUUAAGAGAGGGGUAGCCUUAGGUAGGAAGCUUUAGGGAGCCAAUAUAAUGGGAAACAACUUCAUGUACCAAGACAAACAAUAGCAUGGAUGGCAAGAAAACAAACGAAAGGUGGAUGGUCAUAACAUAUGCAAAACAUGAAGAGGAAGAAGUAAAAAAUCAAUUAGUGGAUCUGUGUUUCUUGCCUUAAGUGGAUAAGAAUAGUGGCAAAACCAUUGUUGUUUAUACGUCUCAGAUUUUCACAUUCAACAUAUACAAAGAUCUAAAAAGGAUAAUGAACUCACUUCUAGUUGCAGGUUUAGUAUAUGUGGUGCUUCCACCAGAGGGAUAACCAUUUUUAUAUAAUUAACCCAAAGAAUUUGAUGCAUAUGUUAAAACCAGAUCUUUUCGAAACCAGAUCUUGUUGAAACUCUUAUUUUAUCUGGUACUAAUUCAAUUUUGGUAUUCUUGUUGCAUUAGCUUCAUUCGGGAUGUAUCGUUCUAUAUUUAGAUUUCUUAUUUACUGAAGGAUCCCAAAAAAAGAAGGUAAGAAUAUGAAUCUAUAGCCCACAUAACUAAAUUAAGUAGCAUUAUAGUUCUAACCAAAGUCCACAUUUGUUAAUAAAGGAAAAUCACUUUCCUUUAACAUUAGUUCCCUUUGAGAUUGAUAUAUUUUUACAAGAACAGGAUUAGAGUAUUCUAUCUAGUAAAGUUAGUCUAAAGCAUUAGGAUUACUGCUACAUUUGUCAUACACAAGAAAAGCACAAUGCGAUUUUUUGUGUGUGGGGUGGGGGGGUGUUGUUAGAAAAGAAUAGCUCCACCCUAAAAGAUGUAAAAUUAAAGUUAAAUUGUAUCAUAUGUAAAAAUGAAGGUUAACCACUAUAUGCAGCAUUGAUGGACCGCAUAGGCGAUAAUACAAAAUGAGUACACAAAUCGAAUGAAAGAACUCUAAUUUUGCAGUGACAAUACAUUUAGAUAUUAGCAAGCAUCCUAAGUACUUUUUGUUUACUUGGAAUCUAGGACAUCGUUUCAGCAAAACCUCCAUGCUAGCUACCCAUAAAUAAAUUAGGGAAUUUGACAAAACUAUCAUAUUUCUUAUACCUAGUAAACUACAUCUACGUAAAACAUUAGAUUAUAAACACAUAAUAAAAUUCAGUAAAUCAUAGCUACUUAAAGUCAUAUGUAAAGAAAAUACAAAAUUAAGCUUGAUGAUACCUACACUACAACUACAUAGCUAUUUCUGAAGAUUGAUCACCUUACCCGGUCAUGAUCUCAUGAGCUUCCUUUUUGCUAACUCUCUGAUGAAUAUAUCAGAACCUGUCAUUUAAAUGAUGUGGCCAAGCAGAUAUUUCAUUAGAUAAUUAAAAUGACUUUACUGCAAAUAGAGAAGUGUAACAUGUUGUACAAUAAAUUACUAUCAAAUAAGUAUUUAUUUAGAAAAUUAAUAAAAGAAAAUUAUAGUGCUAAGUCAAAAGCAUGAAAAAGCUGCAUGAACUAACUUGGGUGAAUAACCUAUCCAGCUUGUAAAAAAUAAGAGAUACUACAAGAAUAAGAAAAACUAAAAAACAGUAUAAUACCUUUUUUACUAUCUGUAAGAUUAUAUCCAAAGAAGAAAAUCUUCAAUCUUUGCUCACGUCCUGCAAUUCUGAGUUCUCAAAAUUUUUAAGUUGUGAGACUUUUCUAUCAUCAGCAUCUUUGUGAUUAUUAUGACUAUAAUUUUUCGUAGCAAGCUAGCAGAAAGAAUAUUUAAGUAUAACUUAUGGUGUUAGUUUAACAUGUCAUAAGUACUUCUAAAUCGCAAAAGAAAAAUCUUAAAAGUUGGAUAUCAUAUAAAUCUUUAUAACCGAUUAUGCAUCUGAUUAUUAUUGGAGGACUCAAAGAUCACAUGUAAAGAUAACAGGAACAUAUCUUUUUCAAUAGGAUGCUACCAAAAGCCAACUCUCAUUUUACCUUCUAAAGAAGUAAGAAAGGUUACAAGAUCUUUUUCAGUCGAGUGACGCUAACUUUGUAAAAUAUGAUAAGAGGCAUUAAAUCUUUGCCAACCUUCAAAGGGAUAGUUUUAGGUAUCCAUUUGAACCAAACUCGUAUUUAGAUGAAAUUGCAGGUAAGAAUAACAAAUAAACUCACCUUUAUCUGUAUGACUAACACAUUCAAAAUAAAUCAGAAUACAAUGGGAUAUAUAAGACAUCAUAACAAGAUAUUAGGAGUACAAGUAUGGCCAAUACAUCCCCGCGGCUGAUGGAGAAGAGUGACUUUGGUUCCAUAUCUACUACAUACAUGUUCAACUACUUCAUGACUUAGCAUGUAAUGCUAUAAAGUAACAGCGACAUUGCAUAGUUUUUUUCCGGAUAUAGAAUGCAAAACUAUCACUUGUUGUAUUAAUCAUUAGUCGAGCAUAAUAAUGGACUCUUUUUUCCUGAAUUGCCUAAAGCUCAGUGACAUAUAUUACUUAAUUACACCUUGAUGCCUUUCAAGUUUUUUUUUUCUUUUUCAAUGACGUGCUCCCUAUUCUUCAUCAUAUUCCUCUCCUGCCACCAAAAUUUUCGCUAUGAAGAAAUUGCACCAAGCACCACAAGCUCUAGUUGUGAUUCCAGCCACUACUAUCCAUGCCAAACUUCUAUAAUUUAUAAAGCUAGAGACAAUCACUGACAUGUAUCAUUUCUUGAUUUAGCCUCAAUUGGUUUACCUUUCCUCAAUGGUCUUGCAACACCAUCAACUGUAACUUCUUGAAAUGUAGGUUCUUCUCCCAAUUGCUCUACCUUUUGAUUGCAAUACCAAAAAAUGGAAACAUUAAAACUGGAUACUCGGUCCCAAAAAAAAAGGAUCCCUUCAAUGAUUGACAAAGAGAAAUAAAAUAAAAAAUCAUAAAAUUUGGUGCAUAAACAGUUGUAUUUUCAUAAUUGAAAUUAAGUUUGGUUACCCCUAAAAAUCACAUAGUAUUAUCCAGCAAAUAUCAAAAAUCAUGAACCUAACUAGGUUUAAUUUCCUAGCAUGCACGUAUAAAUUAGAGACAAUUACUGACAUGCAUUAUCCAAUAGAAUAGAAAAACUAACAUAUACCCACAAAAAGUCCCAUUAUCAAGAGCCGGGGGCAUUAAACAAAGAAAAGUAUCAACUGCAAAUUAAAGGGAACUAUAGAUAUUGUCUAAAUAAUAAGAAAAUUAUUUGACAUGUACAGUGUACCAGUUUCAGCAAAUAGUUGGCAAGUUUAGCAAAUAACUGGAAUAUUCCUAGGCUUUCCCAAGAAGGAGCACAAGAUCGUGCAGUAUUCAGGAAAAAAUGCUCUUCAACCUAUAAAACGAAAGGGGGGAAACAAAGAUGAAGCAAACUCAGAGAGAUAUAUGAAGAAACAAAAGAAAAAACUAAUCUUUUUGAAGAAGGAUGGAUGCUGGAAGAAACAGAGAAACUUGAAGAAAGAGGACAAAAAUCGAAAUCGAACAGAAGAAGCAAUUCGAGAUGAUACUGAUUGCUAACACCAUACUCAUGUAUUUGUUACUGUUGUACAGAUGUACACGUGUAUAUCACGUGUUUAUUCACCAAUGAAUUAGGCACAACAUUUCAGUACAAUUUAGAAUGCUCUUUGUACAAUUUGUUAGUGCCGUGUUCGUCCCAUUACUCCCAUUUAUAUAUAGUAGUAAAUAG
rnacentral:lncRNA from 1 species